CAGCAGCCGCGGUAAUACGUAGGGUGCAAGCGUUAGUCGGAAUUACUGGGCGUAAAGCGUACGCAGGCGGUUAUAUAAGUCAGAUGUGAAAUCCCCGGGCUCAACCUGGGAACUGCAUUUGAGACUGUAUGGCUAGAGUGUGUCAGAGGGGGGUAGAAUUCCACGUGUAGCAGUGAAAUGCGUAGAUAUGUGGAGGAAUACCGAUGGCGAAGGCAGCCCCCUGGGAUAACACUGACGCUCAUGCACGAAAGCGUGGGGAGCAAACAGGAUUAGAUACCCCAGUAGUCCCUGUCUCUUAUAC
rnacentral:rRNA from 1 species